rnacentral:lncRNA from 1 species
UAGUAGAGGAAGAUUGGUAGCUGGGUCGUUUCAGGGCUACACUGAUCAUGUUGAUGGAAAACCUAGUGAUGCUCGGUUUAAUCAUCCCAAAGGCAUUACUAUGGAUGAUAAAGGGAAUGUUUAUGUAUAGAGGAAGAUUGGUAGCUGGGUCGUUUCAGGGCUACACUGAUCAUGUUGAUGGAAAACCUAGUGAUGCUCGGUUUAAUCAUCCCAAAGGCAUUACUAUGGAUGAUAAAGGGAAUGUUUAUGUUGCUGAUACUCAGAAUCUUGCAAUUAGAAAGAUUGGAGAUGCUGGUAUGUGUUAGUUUAGCUACAAGUUUUAACUAUCUUGUCAGGACCAAUAAGGUGUAUUAGUGUCUGAUAUUAUGUUGCGUUGUAUUUGUGGUAAGACUAGACAAGAUAAUAUUAGAGAGUGUUGAGGUAGCACAUAGUAGAAAAGAUGGUGGAAAAUAAACUUAGAUGAUUUGAACAUAUAGAGAGAAGACCGGUAGAUUCUACGGUAAGGUAUUGUUACGGUGAGACGAGAAUGGUGG